GGGCUCGUGGCUUAAUGGUAGAGCGUCCCCCUUGCACGGGGAAGGCUGAGGGUUCGAAUCCCUCCGAGUCCA
rnacentral:tRNA from 1 species